AAAUUCACCCAGCACUCCUCUGAGUGGGCUUGGCACCGUGGAGAGGAAAAAUGGUGCUGAUGUCAUAGGCUUUCCUUGUUAUUUUAACUCGCCUUUCAUUAUUUUUUGUUCUUGCUUUAAAUGAGCUCUUUUUUUUUAAACUUCCUUCCCGGCAUUUGAGUCAUUUCCCAAGGUUUUUGUCUGCUUUAGAUAAGGAACUUAAUACCCAAGAUGGACUGUAACUUAUACAUUUUGUUUCUCCAGGGGCUUUCUACCCAGAUAUAGACAUGAAUUUGGGAGAAAAUCAGGUAUGAAGUCAACAAGCAGAGUUUGCAGCAGGGCAGGACUCUAAGUAUGAUCAACUUCACCGAAUCUCCUGAUACAAAGAAUCGUGCUGUGUACAGACGAAAGCUUACUUUUCAUGACAUGAAGGAUCCUGUGAUUUGAGGAAGGGUCUACUUCUGGGGGAAGCGCCCCAACCAAAGCCAGCCCGGGUGAGUAACACAUCUGCAAAUGCAGGAAAAGCGCCGUUUGCUUCAAGGGCUUUUGAAGAGCUGCUGAGCGGAAGGGGCCUCCUGGUUGCAGCGGAGAUUCUCAGAACUCUGGUCCUUCCUGGAAACCCUGAGCCAGGGAGGCAGGAAUGCAAGUCCAGGGCCAUGAGGCCAGAAACAUUUUCCUCUUUUCUUUCUGAUGCUUUUUUGUGACCCUGCCACCUCACAAUACAAUAUUUGCACUGUGAAACCCUGAAAUCUACCAAAUUUCAUCCCCUUUGGUUUAACAUUCUUUAGGAGCUUGGCAUUGUGUUAGAUGUUCAGUCAUUCCCACGGGCAGUCCCUAUUUAAAAACUGCCCAUCUAUUUUAAAGUUCACGAUGGGGGGAUAAAAGAAAAAAGACUUCCAAAACCAAAGGGAACAUGAGAUAGGCAGAAGAAAAAUCCAGUUUGCUUCUAAAAAAGGCUGAAAAUUAUAACCAUCCGUGGCCUCAAGUCUGAGAUUUUUUUUUUUUUUUCCUCUUCUGGUUGUUUGCAAACCAAAGUGGAAUUUUACUUCGGGUUACUAAGUGAGCUUUUUCAAGUUCCUAGUCAAGUUCCGAAAGCCUCCAGUCACUCGGUAGCAUGCCAUUUCAGUUGCUCCUGCAGAGGGGA
rnacentral:lncRNA from 1 species